UACAGGUGGUGCAAACGUUGCUCGGAAUCAUUGGGCGUAAAGCGCACGUAGGCGGUUCGUUAUGUCGGAUGUGAAAGCCCUUGGCUUAACCGAGGAAGUGCAUCCGAAACUGGCGAGCUAGAGUACUAAAGAGGAUCGCGGAAUUCCCGGUGUAGAGGUGAAAUGCGUAGAUAUCAGGAGGAACACCUGUGGCGAAAGCGGCGCACUGGACCACAACUGACGCUGAGGCGCGAAAGCGUGGGGAGCAAACAGG
rnacentral:rRNA from 1 species